rnacentral:rRNA from 1 species
CCGAAAGGGAGAUGUGCCCGCAAGGGAGCGCGGAGACAGGUGGUGCAUGGCUGUCGUCAGCUCGUGUCGUGAGAUGUUGGGUUAAGUCCCGCAACGAGCGCAACCCUCACCCCUUGUUGCCACCAGGUCAGGCUGGGCACUCUAGGGGAACUGCCCCGGUCAACGGGGAGGAAGGCGGGGAUGACGUCAAGUCAUCAUGCCCCUUACGCCCUGGGCUACACACGUGCUACAAUGGCCGGUACAAAGGGAUGCCACACCGCGAGGUAGAGCUAAACCCAAAAAGCCGGUCUAAGUUCAGAUUGGAGUCUGCAACCCGACUCCAUGAAGGAGGAAUCGCUAGUAAUCGCGCAUCAGCACGGCGCGGUGAAUACGUUCCCGGGCCUUGUACACACCGCCCGUCACACCACGAAAGCCAG